rnacentral:rRNA from 1 species
AGAGUUUGAUCAUGGCUCAGAUUGAACGCUGGCGGAAUGCUUUACACAUGCAAGUCGAACGGCAGCACGGGAGCUUGCUCCUGGUGGCGAGUGGCGAACGGGUGAGUAAUGCGUCGGAACGUGCCGAGUAAUGGGGGGAUAACGCAGCGAAAGUUGUGCUAAUACCGCAUACGCCCUGAGGGGGAAAGUGGGGGAUCGCAAGACCUCACGUUAUUCGAGCGGCCGACGUCUGAUUAGCUAGUUGGUGGGGUAAAGGCCUACCAAGGCGACGAUCAGUAGCGGGUCUGAGAGGAUGAUCCGCCACACUGGGACUGAGACACGGCCCAGACUCCUACGGGAGGCAGCAGUGGGGAAUUUUGGACAAUGGGGGCAACCCUGAUCCAGCCAUUCCGCGUGAGUGAAGAAGGCCUUCGGGUUGUAAAGCUCUUUCAGCUGGAACGAAACGGUACAUCCUAAUACGGUGUGCUAAUGACGGUACCAGCAGAAGAAGCACCGGCUAACUACGUGCCAGCAGCCGCGGUAAUACGUAGGGUGCGAGCGUUAAUCGGAAUUACUGGGCGUAAAGCGUGCGCAGGCGGAUUGUUAAGCAAGAUGUGAAAUCCCCGGGCUUAACCUGGGAAUGGCAUUUUGAACUGGCAGUCUAGAGUGCGUCAGAGGGGGGUGGAAUUCCCGUGUAGCAGUGAAAUGCGUAGAGAUGUGGAGGAACACCAAUGGCGAAGGCAGCCCCCUGGGAUGACACUGACGCUCAUGUACGAAAGCGUGGGUAGCAAACAGGAUUAGAUACCCUAGUAGUCC